rnacentral:rRNA from 1 species
CAGUCGCCGCGGUAAUACAGAGGGUGCGAGCGUUAAUCGGAUUUACUGGGCGUAAAGCGUGCGUAGGCGGCUUCUUAAGUCGGAUGUGAAAUCCCUGAGCUUAACUUAGGAAUUGCAUUCGAUACUGGGUAGCUAGAGUAUGGGAGAGGAUGGUAGAAUUCCAGGUGUAGCGGUGAAAUGCGUAGAGAUCUGGAGGAAUACCGAUGGCGAAGGCAGCCAUCUGGCCUAAUACUGACGCUGAGGUACGAAAGCAUGGGGAGCAAACAGGAUUAGAUACCCGUGUAGUCCCUGUCUCUUAUAC